UAGGGAAUCUUCGGCAAUGGACGAAAGUCUGACCGAGCAACGCCGCGUGAGUGAAGAAGGUUUUCGGAUCGUAAAACUCUGUUGUUAGAGAAGAACAAGGACGUUAGUAACUGAACGUCCCCUGACGGUAUCUAACCAGAAAGCAACGGCUAACUACGUGCCAGCAGCCGCGGUAAUACGUAGGUGGCAAGCGUUGUCCGGAUUUAUUGGGCGUAAAGCGAGCGCAGGCGGUUUCUUAAGUCUGAUGUGAAAGCCCCCGGCUCAACCGGGGAGGGUCAUUGGAAACUGGGAGACUUGAGUGCAGAAGAGGAGAGUGGAAUUCCAUGUGUAGCGGUGAAAUGCGUAGAUAUAUGGAGGAACACCAGUGGCGAAGGCGGCCCUCUGGUCUGUAACUGACGCUGAGGCUCGAAAGCGUGGGGAGCAAACAGG
rnacentral:rRNA from 1 species